rnacentral:rRNA from 1 species
GACGAACGCUGGCGGCGUGCCUAAAACAUGCAAGUCGAACGAGGCCUUCGGGUCUAGUGGCUAACGGCGGAGUAAUACAUGAACAACGUGCCCCUAAGUCUGGGACAAACGCAGAAAUGUUAUAAAUACCAGAUGUGGCCGGAGAAGGACAUCCUUUUCCGAUUAAAGGUUUUUCGCUUAGGGAGCGGUUCAUGGCCUAUCAGCUAGGUGGUGGGGUAACGGCCUACCAAGGCGACGACGGGUAGGGGUCUAAGAGGAUGAUCCCCCCGAGUGGAACUGAGACACGGCCCACACACCUACGGGUGGCAGCAGUUGGGAAUCUUGCACAAUGGGGGAAACCCUGAUGCAGCGACGCCGCGUGGAGGAUGACGGAUCUAGGUCUGUAAACUCCUUUUUCAGGGAAAGACUUAGGACGGUACCCUGAGAAUAAGGACCGGCUAACUACGUGCCAGCA